rnacentral:rRNA from 1 species
AACAGAGAGAAGCAAUACCGCGAGGUGGAGCAAAACUUCAAAAAAUAGGUCUCAGUUCGGACUGUAGGCUGCAAUCCGCCUGCACGAAGCCGGAGUUGCUAGUAAUCGCGAAUCAGAAUGUCGCGGUGAAUGCGUUCCCGGGUCUUGUACACACCGCCCGUCACACCAUGGAAGUUGGGGGUGCCCAAAGCCGGCAAGCAAAUAUGCUGUCUAAGGCAAAACCAAUGACUGGGGUGAAGUCGUAACAAGGUAUC